GACGAACGCUGGCGGCGUGCUUAACACAUGCAAGUCGAACGGAAAGGCGCGGCUUUUGUGGGGUGCUCGAGUGGCGAACGGGUGAGUAACACGUGAGUAACCUGCCCUUGACUGUGGGAUAACUUCAGGAAACUGGGGCUAAUACCGGAGAGGAGCUCCUGCUGCAUGGGGGGGGUUGGAAAGUUUCGGCGGUUGGGGAUGUACUCGCGGCUUAUCAGCUUGUUGGUGGGGUAGUGGCUUACCAAGGCUUUGACGGGUAGCCGGCAUGAGAGGGUGACCGGCCACAUUGGGACUGAGAGACGGAGCAGACUCGAACGGUAGGCAGCAGUGGGGAAUAUUGCACAAUGGGCGGAAGCCUGAUGCAGAAACGCCGCGUGCGGGAUGCCGGCCUUCGGGUUGUAAACCGCUUUCGCCUGUGACGAAGCGUGAGUGACGGUACUGGGUAAAGAAGCACCGGCUAACUACGUG
rnacentral:rRNA from 1 species